rnacentral:rRNA from 1 species
AGCGAACGCUGGCGGCAGGCCUAAUACAUGCAAGUCGAACGGCUCUUCGGAGCAGUGGCGGACGGGUGAGUAACGCGUGGGAACGUGCCCUUUGGUACGGAACAACUGAGGGAAACUUCAGCUACUACCGUAUGUGCCCUUCGGGGGAAAGAUUUAUCGCCAUUGGAGCGGCCCGCGUUGGAUUAGCUAGUUGGUGGGGUAAAGGCCCACCAAGGCUACGAUCCAUAGCUGGUCUGAGGGGAUGAUCAGCCACACUGGGACUGAGACACGGCCCAGACUCCUACGGGAGGCAGCAGUAGGGAAUCUUGCGCAAUGGGGGAAAGCCCGACGCAGCCAUGCCGCGUGUAUGAUGAAGGUCUUAGGAUUGUAAAAUACUUUCACCGGGGAAGAUAAUGACGGUACCCGGAGAAGAAGCCCGGCUAACUUCGUGCCAGCCGCCGCAGUAAUAC